rnacentral:rRNA from 1 species
AACUUUCAACAACGGAUCUCUUGGUUCUGGCAUCGAUGAAGAACGCAGCGAAAUGCGAUAAGUAGUGUGAAUUGCAGAAUUCAGUGAAUCAUCGAAAUCUUUGAACGCACAUUGCGCCCUUUGGUAUUCCAAAGGGCAUGCCUGUUCGAGCGUCAUUUG